GGGUCAGAGAAGUCAGGGGAAGGUCGCCAGUGGCCACUCUGCAAACUUGCAAAACUAUACAGUCAGCAACUGCCUCUUCUUAGCCACACAUCUCCAGACCGGGUUUCACAAAGGAAAACUGAACAGAAAACAACGUUAGGACACUCAAUUCUUUUAUUUUACAAAAGGGGAAACGGAGUCCUUUCAUUUUACAAGUAGGGAAAUGGAGUCUAGGAAAAAGGCUAAUUUUUUCAAGGAGCCAGCACUAAUUAGUGGUAACUUCUUCAAGCAACCCCCAAGUAGAACCCAAUUUUCCUGACACUGCCCUACCGAGUCAACGAUCUUUCACCCACACCAUGCUGUUAUUUGGGAUAACGAAUCUUGGAGAUGUUUAGCGCCCAGAUUUCCUGAAAGAAAAAAAGGAGUUAUCAAACAGUGCCGGCAUUUGUAAUACUCCUAGUCUCUUUAGACGGUACAAUCCCCAAAGAAACAUUUAGCUUUCCAUGAACCUUUAUUAGAAUGUAUUAGGGAGAACCACUAUCAAUUUGUGACUCCUAUUAGAGAUUUUCCCCGCCCUCACCUUCCCCCAAGAAAAUUAUAUUGUAAUUGAAGAAAAAAAAAUUGUGGGAGGCAAUUUGGUCUGACAGAAGUGAUCUGUUCGGUUUAUUGAAAAAAGAAUCUGUUUUAGAAUUUGCAUCCUAGUAAAUCCUGCCCAAAAGCCACACUGUAUUAAAUAAGGUUCAACACAGCUCAGAUGCCUUUAGGUAUGUUUCAAUACUCAGUUUGUACCGGCUCCUUAUUCUAAGGAAUCCUGGAGAGAGCUUGAGUUAGCCUGUGACUCUAUCUGACCUAAGUCAUUAGAUCCCACCCGGGUCUAAUAUAGCACCCGAAAUUAAUAUUCGCAGCGGGGAUAGUAUUCUCAAUCGAGAAGGAACUCUCUUCACAUUCGGCACAUAGCUUCCCAAGGCUCCCGGCAGAGUUGAAAAACCUAAGAGACUAUGGCUCUGAAUUAGCCUAGCCUCUCUCUCUGCGUAGUAGAGAUGCACUAGCGCUAAGGGAUGUGGAGGGGGGAACAGCGGAGAGAUACUGGAGGAUCAUUAAAUUAUUUAAAACACAUACUUCUUAUUUUUUUCUCUCCCCUCUAGAUCGAUCUAUUUAACGCCUGUGUCUAUUUUGGCAUCUUCAAAACCCACACAACUAGGGAUACCGGGGGACAAGAAUGCCGUCAGAACUAAGGGUGUCGGGUAACAAGACCAGUACCAAUGUGAUAUAUUUCCUUCUGAAUUUAUUCCCUUUUAGAACAAACAUCUCACCAAUUGUGCACAUAGGGCUGGGCCCGAGAAAGGUGGGAAGGAUGCGCCUGGGAUUUGAUCCAAGUGAAUGAAAUAGUGAAAGUUUUUUUAAUCUCUUCUUUAAAAACAACAAUAGGAACAAAACAAAUAAAAAAUAACUUUAUUAAACACUUAUUUAGUGUCUAGAUUCACUAGAGCAGAGGGUCUUCUUAACGUGUGUGUGUGUCGUUUGGCACAGAAUAAAGUUUUUAAAUUUAUAAAAUACACAGGGUUAUGAAGGAAGCUAAUUAUUUUUGAAAUGAAGUUCUCUAUAUUUUAAAAAAAUCAAAUUUUGCGGACUCCAAUUUCAGAACUCCUUUUCUAGAGAGAUAUUACAUUAUCUGUAUGCAAGGAGGAAUUUCCGAAUAAUUGAUUCCGAAAAAUCAAAGGUUUUUUGAGUUAAAAAAACUGUCAGUAGGAAUUUAUAGUUGUAAGCAUCCAUCUGAGCAAACCUCCAAUCCUCUUCUCUCUAAAUCACUCUCCUUCCAAACCGUCCCUUCUCCCGGGCAACAAUUUAUGAAUUCAACUUCUGAUAAAACUAUCUCUGUGAAGUUACCUACACACUAUUUCGGUUCAAAAGGCUCGGCCGCACACUCUCCGAGGCCAUUCUGCCUGGAACAGCCCCAGACUGCCCUGUUUUGGGCCGGGAGUUUGGGAGCUCGCUCGAUAUUCAGUCCCUGUGGGAACUAGAAGCUUAAAGCUGGCACGUGUACUCCGCCCCGGGAGGUGCGCUUAACGGAUACCAGCCUGGAGCACUGACCGUCAGAGACAAGCCAACUCGGUCCUGCAGUCCUUCCGUUCUGACUCGAGUAGCUCCUUAAGGCUCUCAAUAUAGAGCCUUAGUUCUGGACUAUAGAAGAGAUGUGGGGAGGAGGCUUCUAAUACUUCGGGUUCAGAGAGAAAAUCAGAAUACCGAGCCCCUUGUCUAACGCUCUGCGACCUUAAGCAUUAUCAUACCCGGAGAUUCUAUUUUAUGAGCACAGCCCGCAGCUACUAGAAAGAGAGCCCUGGCUGGAGGCAGAUACUUUCACUUCCGAAUGAAGAUCUGCGGAUUGCUGUUGCGAGACCAGUAAUCAUCGCUCACAAGUGGAGUCUGUCCAUCGUCAUUUGCCUUUUUUUCUAGAGUCUCUGUCUCCAAAUAAAACAAAUGAAACAAAACAAGAA